AUUGAACGCUGGCGGCAGGCCUAACACAUGCAAGUCGAACGGUAACAGGAUAGCUUGCUAUCGCUGACGAGUGGCGGACGGGUGAGUAAUACUUAGGGAUCUGCCUCUGUGUGGGGGAUAACUAUUGGAAACGAUAGCUAAUACCGCAUAAUGUCUACGGACCAAAGCGGGCUUCGGCUCGUGCGCAGAGAGGAACCUAAGCGAGAUUAGCUAGUUGGUGAGGUAAAGGCUCACCAAGGCGACGAUCUCUAGCUGUUCUGAGAGGAAGAUCAGCCACACUGGAACUGAGACACGGUCCAGACUCCUACGGGAGGCAGCAGUGGGGAAUAUUGCACAAUGGGGGAAACCCUGAUGCAGCCAUGCCGCGUGUGUGAAGAAGGCCUUCGGGUUGUAAAGCACUUUCAGUUGUGAGGAAAGUUUAGUAGUUAAUACCUGCUAGAUGUGACGUUAGCAACAGAAGAAGCACCGGCUAACUCCGUGCCAGCAGCCGCGGUAAUACGGAGGGUGCGAGCGUUAAUCGGAAUUACUGGGCGUAAAGCGCACGCAGGCGGUCUGUUAAGCUAGAUGUGAAAGCCCCGCGCUCAACGUGGGAGGGUCAUUUAGAACUGGCAGACUAGAGUCUUGGAGAGGGGAGUGGAAUUCCAGGUGUAGCGGUGAAAUGCGUAGAGAUCUGGAGGAACAUCAAUGGCGAAGGCAACUCCCUGGCCAAAGACUUGACGCU
rnacentral:rRNA from 1 species